rnacentral:lncRNA from 8 species
GCAUUGGGCCUUUCCUGGUUCCCAGGCUCUGGGGAAAAAAUCCAAUGGGUGGAUCCCAGGUGGGGCUCAAACACCGAUCGGUGGAUCGAAAGGCUCAUUCGCUACUCGUACAGCCAACUGGCCUUUGAUGAAUAAAGAGGCAAAAAGGUGAGGUUUCAGUUCAAAUUUCCCUCAAGUCCAAUUGGUCUGAUAUUGGUCCACACCUGGGGCUCAUUAAGCCCUUGUUAGGGUUAGGUUAUAAUGUGGUGGAGCACACCAAGAGAGACACACACACACUCCCACUCGGGAAGGCAGGAGAGAGAGAGAAGCUAUGAGCGGCAGACUAAGACGUGACUGUGGGCUUUGUUCCAAGCUGAAUAUCGCGCGGAUAGACCGGCAUUUCAAGUCUGUCCAUGCACUUAAGCCUGGUACUAUUAAAUGGAAGUGUGCUAUGCAAUCUUGCCGGCUUUCAGCCGAGAGACAGCGGCCCGGAUCAUGGAAGUGUACGCAGCCUAACAACGAUGUUGCACCGCGGCUGGAGCCCGGAGAGAACCCUGUGUAUUUCCAGUGUGUGGGAAGUGAGUUGUGCGUGGAUCAGCAGCUGUUGGACGAGAGUGAGCAGGCGGUGGCGACUGGGCCGGUGCAGUCAACCAGCCAGAUCGGUGGUGAACCACGCUCGGAACCGAGGGAGCGAGGCUGCGCGGAGGCGACUUCCACGGAGAGCGAGAGCGAUGAAGGCGGCGGUGUGGAUUCCGGAAUUGAAGGUUGGAGAAAUGUAAUUUUGACUGAAUAUGAGCACUUUGCUACGGGUAGAAACCCUUCAGUUAAACAAAUUGACAAUUGUCGCACCAGUCUAUCCCGAGUACGGAAAUUCCUCCGCUAUAUGUCAGAGGGCAAGGCCGAUGAAGGACUGUGUUCUCUGGAUAACUACAGACGUGCGUCUGAGUGGUACGGUCAAUGUGAAGACCGUUGUUUGGCACCAUCCACGUUAAAAAUGUACCGAUCCGAUGUUCGAAGUUUCUUGAACUAUCUCAUUCAGUUCUGGCCAGAAGGUCUGCAGGCUAGAGCCAGUAAAAUCCGAAAGUUGUUACUCUGCUUGGCAAAGAUGGACAGGGAUUCGCGGCAGAGCCAGGCAACACACAGGGCAAAAUUCCGCAAACGCUGCAGGGACGAGGUGCUCAGCGCUGCGGAGUUAAGCCGAUUUGUUGAGCAAAGCAAUCAAGCUAUUCCUUCGGUUCUCAGUAGGCUGGAGGUCCGACCCACCUGCGCUGAUAGACGUAGGUUUGCGGCUCUCAUGUCCAGCCGGUUGGCCAUCUUUAAUGGCACUCAACGAUCCCCAGUCACCACAUUCAGU